CAGAAAGUAGUUCGUCAUGAAACUAGUCACAGUUGUGUUGCUCUUUGUGGUAGUCCUGUAUGUGGCCGCUUCGGUGAAUGCCCAAGCAACUAGAUCACCGGGUACAGCGGCAGCUGGGCCAAGGCCUACAACCAGACGAACCACAAGACGUACUACUGUACGAACAACCAGACGUACCACUGGAAGAACAACGAGACGUACUACUGGAAGAACAACCAGACGUACCACUGGAAGAACAACGAGACGUACUACUGGAAGGACAACCAGACGUACCACUGGAAGAACAACGAGACGUACCACUGGAAGAACAACAAGACGAACCACAGGAAGAACAACACGACGUACUACUGGAAGAACAACGAGACGUACCACUGGAAGAACAACGAGACGUACUACUGGAAGAACAACGAGACGUACCACUGGAAGAACAACACGACGUACUACAAGAAGGACAACGAGACGUACCACAACAGGACCGAGCUGCAAUGAUAAUUGUCCACCAGACUUUCAACCCGUUUGUGGAACAGUUUUUCGGGAGGGAAGGUUCAUAAACUGUAAUUUCAGCAAUCAAUGUAAUCUGGAUAAUCACAGUUGUCGAAGACGGGAAGUGUGGAUAUCCAGGAGCGGUAACUGCGCUCAAAAGUCCAGCAACAGAGACUGUGCUUAAUCUAAUUCAAAACGACUGAUAUGAAAAGAUUAUUUUUGAAUGAUAAAAAAAUAAUUAAUGGCUUAAAAAAUAUUUUUGUCUUUUUUUAUAAAAUGAUAGAAGGAAUUUUAAAAUAAAAAAAAUUAAAGUGUAAAUUGGUACAUUAGUAAGUGGUAAUAAGGUGAUAUUAUAAUUUGCAAAAUGGAAAUACACUGCGCGUUAUCAGGUUAGCGACCCCCUUUAAUAAACGUUUAUUGCUUAAUUUGGGAAAACACGAAAUUGUAUUGCUGGUGUUUUGUUUACCUGGGUUUUGACUGGUCUAUAUAAAUCAAGCAAAUAUCACUGUAAACCAGACUGUAGUUCAUCAUGAAACUAGUCACAGUUGUAUUGCUCCUCGUGGUGGUCCUGUAUGUGGUUUCUUCGGUGAACGCGCAAGGACGCAGACCAUCUAUACCUACUACAAGGCGUACUACGCCACGACCAACGAGACGUACCACUACAGGACCAACGAGACGUACCACUACAGGACCAACGAGACGUACCACUACAGGACCAACUAGACGUACCACUACAGGACCAACGAGACGUACCACUACAGGACCAACGAGACGUACCACUACAGGACCAACGAGACGUACCAUGCCACGACCAACGAGACGUACCACUACAAGACCAAGUUGCGAUGAUUAUUGUUUACCAGACGUUCAACCCGUUUGUGGAACAGUUUUUCGGGAGGGAAGGUUCAUAAACUGUAAUUUCAGCAAUCAAUGUAAUCUGGAUAAUCACAGUUGUCGAAGACGGGAAGUUUGGACAUCAACCCGCGGUAACUGCGCUCAGAAGUCCAGCAACAGAGACUGCGCAUAGUUUGAGAAUCAUCAAUAAAAUACAAAACGAUUUAUGUAUAUUGAGAAUUAAAAAUUUGUUCAACUAAAAAACAA